rnacentral:rRNA from 1 species
GAUUAAGUUAUUAAGGGCGCACGGUGGAUGCCUUGGCACUAGAAGCCGAUGAAGGACGUUACUAACGACGAUAUGCUUUGGGGAGCUGUAAGUAAGCUUUGAUCCAGAGAUUUCCGAAUGGGGAAACCCAGCAUGAGUUAUGUCAUGUUAUCGAUAUGUGAAUACAUAGCAUAUCAGAAGGCACACCCGGAGAACUGAAACAUCUUAGUACCCGGAGGAAGAGAAAGAAAAUUCGAUUCCCUUAGUAGCGGCGAGCGAAACGGGAAGAGCCCAAACCAACAAGCUUGCUUGUUGGGGUUGUAGGACACUCUAUACGGAGUUACAAAGGACGACAUUAGACGAAUCAUCUGGAAAGAUGAAUCAAAGAAGGUAAUAAUCCUGUAGUCGAAAAUGUUGUCUCUCUUGAGUGGAUCCUGAGUACGACGGAGCACGUGAAAUUCCGUCGGAAUCUGGGAGGACCAUCUCCUAAGGCUAAAUACUCUCUAGUGACCGAUAGUGAACCAGUACCGUGAGGGAAAGGUGAAAAGCACCCCGGAAGGGGAGUGAAAUAGAACCUGAAACCGUGUGCUUACAAGUAGUCAGAGCCCGUUAAUGGGUGAUGGCGUGCCUUUUGUAGAAUGAACCGGCGAGUUACGAUUUGAUGCAAGGUUAAGCAGUAAAUGUGGAGCCGUAGCGAAAGCGAGUCUGAAUAGGGCGUUUAGUAUUUGGUCGUAGACCCGAAACCAGGUGAUCUACCCUUGGUCAGGUUGAAGUUCAGGUAACACUGAAUGGAGGACCGAACCGACUUACGUUGAAAAGUGAGCGGAUGAACUGAGGGUAGCGGAGAAAUUCCAAUCGAACCUGGAGAUAGCUGGUUCUCUCCGAAAUAGCUUUAGGGCUAGCCUCAAGUGAUGAUUAUUGGAGGUAGAGCACUGUUUGGACGAGGGGCCCCUCUCGGGUUACCGAAUUCAGACAAACUCCGAAUGCCAAUUAAUUUAACUUGGGAGUCAGAACAUGGGUGAUAAGGUCCGUGUUCGAAAGGGAAACAGCCCAGACCACCAGCUAAGGUCCCCAAAUAUAUGUUAAGUGGAAAAGGAUGUGGCGUUGCCCAGACAACUAGGAUGUUGGCUUAGAAGCAGCCAUCAUUUAAAGAGUGCGUAAUAGCUCACUAGUCGAGUGACACUGCGCCGAAAAUGUACCGGGGCUAAACAUAUUACCGAAGCUGUGGAUUGUCCUUUGGACAAUGGUAGGAGAGCGUUCUAAGGGCGUUGAAGCAUGAUCGUAAGGACAUGUGGAGCGCUUAGAAGUGAGAAUGCCGGUGUGAGUAGCGAAAGACGGGUGAGAAUCCCGUCCACCGAUUGACUAAGGUUUCCAGAGGAAGGCUCGUCCGCUCUGGGUUAGUCGGGUCCUAAGCUGAGGCCGACAGGCGUAGGCGAUGGAUAACAGGUUGAUAUUCCUGUACCACCUAUAAUCGUUUUAAUCGAUGGGGGGACGCAGUAGGAUAGGCGAAGCGUGCGAUUGGAUUGCACGUCUAAGCAGUAAGGCUGAGUAUUAGGCAAAUCCGGUACUCGUUAAGGCUGAGCUGUGAUGGGGAGAAGACAUUGUGUCUUCGAGUCGUUGAUUUCACACUGCCGAGAAAAGCCUCUAGAUAGAAAAUAGGUGCCCGUACCGCAAACCGACACAGGUAGUCAAGAUGAGAAUUCUAAGGUGAGCGAGCGAACUCUCGUUAAGGAACUCGGCAAAAUGACCCCGUAACUUCGGGAGAAGGGGUGCUCUUUAGGGUUAACGCCCAGAAGAGCCGCAGUGAAUAGGCCCAAGCGACUGUUUAUCAAAAACACAGGUCUCUGCUAAACCGUAAGGUGAUGUAUAGGGGCUGACGCCUGCCCGGUGCUGGAAGGUUAAGAGGAGUGGUUAGCUUCUGCGAAGCUACGAAUCGAAGCCCCAGUAAACGGCGGCCGUAACUAUAACGGUCCUAAGGUAGCGAAAUUCCUUGUCGGGUAAGUUCCGACCCGCACGAAAGGCGUAACGAUUUGGGCACUGUCUCAACGAGAGACUCGGUGAAAUCAUAGUACCUGUGAAGAUGCAGGUUACCCGCGACAGGACGGAAAGACCCCGUGGAGCUUUACUGUAGCCUGAUAUUGAAAUUCGGCACAGCUUGUACAGGAUAGGUAGGAGCCUUUGAAACGUGAGCGCUAGCUUACGUGGAGGCGCUGGUGGGAUACUACCCUAGCUGUGUUGGCUUUCUAACCCGCACCACUUAUCGUGGUGGGAGACAGUGUCAGGCGGGCAGUUUGACUGGGGCGGUCGCCUCCUAAAAGGUAACGGAGGCGCUCAAAGGUUCCCUCAGAAUGGUUGGAAAUCAUUCAUAGAGUGUAAAGGCAUAAGGGAGCUUGACUGCGAGACCUACAAGUCGAGCAGGGUCGAAAGACGGACUUAGUGAUCCGGUGGUUCCGCAUGGAAGGGCCAUCGCUCAACGGAUAAAAGCUACCCCGGGGAUAACAGGCUUAUCUCCCCCAAGAGUUCACAUCGACGGGGAGGUUUGGCACCUCGAUGUCGGCUCAUCGCAUCCUGGGGCUGUAGUCGGUCCCAAGGGUUGGGCUGUUCGCCCAUUAAAGCGAUACGCGAGCUGGGUUCAGAACGUCGUGAGACAGUUCGGUCCCUAUCCGUCGUGGGCGUAGGAAAUUUUGAGAGGAGCUGUCCUUAGUACGAGAGGACCGGGAUGGACAUACCUCUGGUGUACCAGUUGUCGUGCCAACGGCAUAGCUGGGUAGCUAUGUGUGGACGGGAUAAGUGCUGAAAGCAUCUAAGCAUGAAGCCCCCCUCAAGAUGAGAUUUCCCAACUUCGGUUAUAAGAUCCCUCAAAGAUGAUGAGGUUAAUAGGUUCGAGGUGGAAGCAUGGUGACAUGUGGAGCUGACGAAUACUAAUCGAUCGAAGACUUAAUCAA